CAAUAGCGUAUAUUAAAGUUGUUGCAGUUAAAAAGCUCGUAGUUGGAUUUCUGCUGAGGACGAUCGGUCCGCCCACUGGGUGAGUAUCUGGCUCGGCCUUGGCAUCUUCUUGGAGAACGUUGCUGCACUUGACUGUGUGGCGCGGUAUCCAGGACUUUUACUUUGAGGAAAUUAGAGUGUUUCAAGCAGGCGCACGCCUUGAAUACAUUAGCAUGGAAUAAUGAGAUAGGACCUUGGUUCUAUUUUGUUGGUUUCUAGAGCUGAGGUAAUGAUUAAUAGGGAUAGUUGGGGGCAUUCGUAUUUAACCGUCAGAGGUGAAAUUCUUGGAUUUGUUAAAGACGGACUACUGCGAAAGCAUUUGCCAAGGAUGUUUUCAUUGA
rnacentral:rRNA from 1 species